rnacentral:lncRNA from 1 species
GUUUAAAUGCCUUGCUUGCCAACUUUGUUUGGUUGUUUGCUCAUGCAUUGUAAUUAAGAUUGACACCUUAAUUCAAUGGGUAGGUGGAGUUACACGAAGGUAUCAUUGGUCAAGGAAUAUUAAAUUGUUUCCAAUAUAAUAUCCAUUGUCCAAUCAACUCUUAUUAUACAACCGCAAAAAUUGAAAAUAGGGUCUAUUUAAUCACACUCCAAAUUCAGAGCUGUAUCAAGCUUAAAUUUUGUGUCCAUACUUGCCCAAACUGUUCAUGGUUCAACCUCUGUGGUCGUAUAAAGCUGCGCCCUGCGUAGCAUCUGGUUUAUGUAGUAAACAAACUGUUACUCCACCUCUCCAUUGAAUUUAGGUUUCAAUCUUAAUUACAAUGCAUGAGCAAACAACCAAACAAAGUUGGCAAGCAAGACAUUUAAACUCUUUGAUUGCAUGUUUUAAUAAUUUUACUGUAAAUGUAGUCCGAUGUUUCCACUGUUCCUUUUCUCAUCUGGAUCAAUAAAAAUCCAAUCUUUUGUCUCAAUAUCAAGACCGCAGCAACCUUCAACGAGAGAAGUUCCAUCAGUCGGAUGUAGCCCUUCUUGUAUAAUAUCUCAAGCUAACAGCUUCACAUGCCUUAUUCUUAGAUGUGAUUUGUUUCCAAAUACCUAAACUAAUAGUAUUGAUUAAGUACAUUGAUACUAAUUGAUAUAGAUGUACAUUGUUGUUCUAAAUGAUAUUUUUACACCA